rnacentral:misc_RNA from 1 species
AAAGAAGAACUAUGUGAAGAACAACAUCACAAAACCAAGAAUGUGAAAACCGCAAUCCAGUUCAAUCUAGCAUAAAACUUCCCAAAUUAACAUUCAUUGAAUGAUACAUUCACAAUAAAAAUACAAAGGCAAAUCAUAAAGCCACUAAAUCUAGUAAUUAUUUAACCAAAAUAUGAAACAAAAGUUUAGUCAUUGCAAGUUUAGUCAAAUUUCUGUGUAAAGCACAGGCAUGCAUUCAACACCAG